CUCUCUCGUAAACGCUUUCUUCUUUUGUUUUAACGCUGCCCUUGAAUCUUCUCUCGUCAGAGGCGGACUUGAGGUGCGACUCGAUCCCAUAGUAGAUUGCCUCAUCAGCAAGCUCUUGCAUGGAGAAUCUGCGAGAUGUGGAGGGGAGACGAUUUGAUCUGAGAAGGGAGAGGAGGACUGAGAAGAUCUGGGGAUCCCGAUCUGAAAACCAGAGUCGGAGACCUGCUCAUUGUUUGGCCUAAAUGAAUUUUUUCCAAUCACUUGAAGUUGCUAUUUGGUGUGGAGAUUAAAUAAUUGAUGGAAAUGCAUCUGAUUUUGUAAUUUAUAUAUUGUAAUUUUGUAAUUUAUAUAUUGUAAUUUUGUAUUUUGUAAUGUAUAUAUAGCAAAUAAUGGAAUAUGUAGUGGAUUGCAUUA